UACGUAGGGUGCAAGCGUUGUCCGGAGUUAUUGGGCGUAAAGCGUGCGCAGGCGGUUUUGUAAGCCAGAUGUGAAAUCCCCGGGCUUAACCUGGGAAUGGCAUUUGGGACUGCAAGGCUUGAGUGCGGCAGAGGAGACUGGAAUUCCCGGUGUAGCAGUGAAAUGCGUAGAUAUCGGGAGGAAUACCGAUGGCGAAGGCAGGUCUCUGGGCUGACACUGACGCUCAUGCACGAAAGCGUGGGGAGCAAACAGG
rnacentral:rRNA from 1 species